AUUGAACGCUGGCGGCAGGCCUAACACAUGCAAGUCGAGCGGAUGAUGAAAGCUUGCUUUCUGAUUCAGCGGCGGACGGGUGAGUAAUGCCUAGGAAUCUGCCUGUUAGUGGGGGAUAACUCGGGGAAACUCGGGCUAAUACCGCAUACGUCCUACGGGAGAAAGUGGGGGAUCUUCGGACCUCACGCUAACAGAUGAGCCUAGGUCGGAUUAGCUAGUAGGUGAGGUAAUGGCUCACCUAGGCUACGAUCCGUAACUGGUCUGAGAGGAUGAUCAGGCACACUGGAACUGAGACACGGUCCAGACUCCUACGGGAGGCAGCAGUGGGGAAUAUUGGACAAUGGGCGAAAGCCUGAUCCAGCCAUGCCGCGUGUGCGAAGAAGGUCUUCGGAUUGUAAAGCACUUUAAGUUGGGAGGAAGGGUUGUAGAUUAAUACUCUGCAAUUUUGACGUUACCGACAGAAUAAGCACCGGCUAACUCUGUGCCAGCCGCCGCAGUAAAAC
rnacentral:rRNA from 1 species